AAAAGUAAAUUUUCAGCCUACGAAACUGAUUUGUCCAAAAAUAUUUCUAUACUCUCACACUAUAAAUAAUAUUUUCUCCGUUUCCUGAAAGUAAGAUUUUCUAAAAUAUUUACGCUUAUUAGAAAUUCAAUAAAUAUUUAUAAUUUAAUUUUUUUUUUACUUUAUUAUACACUUUCCAAUAACUUUUCACCAAUAAAAUUUAAUCAAUUCAAAUAUUUUCAUUUAAUAUUUCUUAAAAAUAUAAAAAGUACCUUAAAUAUAUAUAAAAUAUAUCUUUGUGAAACAUGUAAAAAAUAUAAAAAAACAUCUUACUUUCGGGAACGGAGGGAGUAUAUAAAUCUUAUUUGGUUUCAAUAUUUAUAAUAUGUAACUUUUCUAAGGUAACUUACAAUAGAAAGAUAUAAGCACAUAUAGAGUCCAUUUUAAUUGAAGUACUCUUUUUGUAAAGAUUUUAAUUGAAAUACUAAUUAUUUAUAAACAAAAUAUAGAGUUAUUUAGUCCGUAGACUCGUAGUUAUACCACAGGAAAUUGAAUUUGAGCUUUGUGAAUUAGAUUUAUGUCGUUAUCUGAAAUGAAAUAGAAAGAUAAAGUUGAGCACAUUAUUGUCCAAUUUUUUUCUUUUAAGUUAUAAAUUUAUCACCUGUCGGAAGUUCAAUGAGUUAGGUCAUCAACCGCACUUCCGGACUCGAGCUUUGACACGUGUAACCAACCCACCUUGCACUCAAAGACAAAAGCAAUUUAAAAUAAUAAUCAUGAAACUGGGAUACAAUUUCAUACAAUUUUGCUCUAAUUCAGUUUUGACAUCGCAUUAACAUUUUUUUUAUAUUUGCAAUGAGAUAAUAACAUGACACCAGCUUUCACGUGCAUCAAAGCUGGAUGAAAAAGGACAAGAAGUUUACGUGAGAUUUCUUCCAAAGUAAAAGCCACACCAAAAUAAAAGUUAAGAACAAUAAAAGUCAGAUUAAAAUAAUAUACUCGGAGAUUCGAACUUAUCAUAAAAAGUCCCUUUACUGCCAACUUUAUAAUCCCGUAUAAUAAUUACAAACUGAAUGUUGGAGUGUAUAAACACAAUGUAGCUGAAGAGACAAGUUUACUUGCCCGAAACAAUUGGAAAGCUUUUGUUAGUGUCCGAAUGGAGUAGCAGCACAAGUGCAGAUCUCCUGUCCAUGCAGUUCUCCCGCACUGCAUUCACCAUUCACCAUUUUUUGUUUGUAAAAGUAGUUCAAGCGGGAGAUCUGCAUGCAGUUCAAUAUUUUCUGUCUUUUUGUGAAAAAAGCAGGAGAUCUGCAUGCAGAUCUCACCCGCCAACAUUUGGUGGUGUUGAUCUGCUUUUUUUUGUUUAGUCAAUAAAUAACUUUGUUACAACACAUAACUUUAAAAAUAUAUUUAUCUAAUUUUAUGAAUACAAUAUUUUUAUUUAUUUCAUUUACAACUUUAACAAUACAAAAUUAUCAUUCUCAACUUAUUAUUUUUUCUCAUAUAAUUUUUAAUUUCUAUAAAUAAGAAAAUAAAAAAGUAUAAGUAUCUUAAAAAAAUAUUUACAGGCAUUUCGGCCGAUCCUAUAACAUCUAAGAUAUUUGUUUAGAUAUCUAAGUGUCAUUUUUAUUGUUUUAAUAUAUGAUCUAUAGUUUUGAACUGAUUUUGUCAUUCAUAAGUUAUACGAAAUUAUUUGAUCUGAUUCUCUCCUGCAUGAUCCGCUUGAUCUGCACUUGUCCUGCUUUGAUCUGCACUUGUCCUGCUUGAUCUGCAUGAUCUGCUUGAUCUGUCCUGCUUGAACUGCUUUUACCAUUCGAAGCAAAAAUGGGAAAUUGGUAAU